UAAAUCUCUCCCUUCUUCUCGUGUCUCCCCCACUACAUAUCUUCCCUCUUAUUUUGUCUCCCCCACUACAUGUCUCCCCUCAUCUGGUGGCUCCCCCAAUACAUCGCUCCCUUCUUCUCCUGUCUCCCCCACUACAUCUCUCCCCUCUUCUCCUGUCUCCCCCACUACAUCCCUCCCCCCUUCUUAUUUCACCCACACUACAUCCCUCCCCUCUACUCCUGUCUCCCCCAAUACAUCCCUCCCCUUUUCUCAUGUCUCCCCCACUACAUAUCUUCCUUCUUAUUUUGUCUCCCCCACUACAUGUCUCCCCUCAUCUUGUGUCUUCCCCACUACAUCCCCCCCUUCUCGUGUCUCCCCCACUGCAUCUCUCCCCUCUUCUCCUGUCUCCCCCACUACAUCCCUGCCCUCUUCUCCUGUUUCCCCCAUUACAUCUCUCCCCUCUACUCGUGUCUCCCCCACUAAAUCCCCCCCUUUUUCUGAUCUCCCCGCCUCUCUUCUCGUCCCCAUCUUCCCCUGUUUCCAGUGCCACAUCCUUCCCUUUUCUAUUCCCUGUUCCUAUUCUUCUGACCCCUGUGUUUCCUUGUCCCUCCCCCCCCCCCACUCUCUCCCCCCAACAGGAAUCCUUGGUCUUCCAGAUGUCAUUACCCCCAGCAGCAGUGAUGUCUCCUCCCCACCAGGAUGGUCAUCGGAUGUCAGUGAGCAAAGCAGAUCAGGGAACUCAGAGGACACCCCACUGCCUGAUGAGGAUGUAUUGGGGAAUAAAAUGUAGGUAACAAGUAGCAUUAAGUUCAACGCCGGUGCAAUGAUGCCAAAAAUGACUAAUCCAUGUUUGUAACUUUGCAAUUUGUAUUCCUGCCUUUUUAUUUGUCCUUUAAAACAUCACUUCCCAUCCUCACUUGUGACCUGACCCAGUGGGCCUCCUGCCCAGAUAACUGGUACUUUGAAUAACACCUCCAUUAAUGUUGUGGUGGUCUGUCUUUAGAGGUGUCCCGGCCUUGUCGAUUCUCAUCUAUGCAGCAGUACGUCGGCAGGAGCCAACCUUUGUUGAUCGCAUCAAGGAGAUCCAUCAGCACAGGCUUGGACAUCAGAUAGAUAUCGAUGAAUGAAUUACUUAAUUUUGCUAUUAUGUGACGUUACUCAUGGCUUUGUUUCUCUGUUCCUCUCGUCCCUGUGGGGUGCAGUCAGCCCCAGAGGGCCGAGAGUAGCCGGCUGCAGGCUUCCUCUGGUAGAAGCAAGAACCAGCAAUGCAAGGAGGCCCUCGGGUUGCCCAACAGGGACAUCACGGGGCAGGAGGACCUCUGGAGCUCCAGGAGAAGAACCCUGCUGAAGCUGCUGAGGUGCUUGGGGGAGCUCUAUAAAUCAUGGCAGGGUGAGGGCUCCUACAAAGGCAAGCACCGACUCCCGUGGUCUAUUAAGAGCUGUCUGGCAGAGUUCAACGAGCAGUAAGAGCAUUGCUCUGAGCAGGAUGCUCAUGAGUUCCUGCUCCUCGUCCUCAUGAAGAUGAAGAUGGAAGGUGAGGCACUACAGGAGACCUCCACGUCACCCAGCUACAUCUGCCCCGUCCAGAACUUUGAGUUCAGACUGCAGUGUGUCUGCACCUGCUCAAGAUGUCCGGAUCUCUGCCCGUCUUAAAAGCUGUGGUGACAAGGGCUUCCUGGACGGGGAGCAGAACCACUUUCCUUUGACCUCCACCCGUCGUUGAUAGCCGGCCUCCAACUCUACUUCAAACCUUCAGAUUUGGAGUGCACCUGCCAGCAGUGCUGAAUGCCAGGCAUCAGAGAUUCAGCAUUUCCUCACUCUGCCCAGAGUGCUUCACAUGAAGCGCUUCCACCAUGACGGGGCAUGGUUGAGGAAGGUGACCGAUGCUGCCAGCGUUCCUCCAUGGCUGUCUCUGGCCUCCCUCGUUGGAAAGCAGGGUGCUGCAGCUGGGAUUGGACACACUGAGUGGAACAUCUUGACAGUGCAGGAGACAGGGACAGAGAACUCCAGGAAGUGCAUGUGGUGAGAGGGGGCAGAGGGGGAGGAUCACAGCAAGCAGAGCCCCCUCCGUCUGUAAGGGAAGGUCUCUCACCUCGGGGAGAGCAUCGACACUGGUAACUGAAGCUUUCAUAGUAAAAAAUGUACAUCUGUACCUGACACAUAGCCUGGCUCCGCCCGCCUAAGUACUUCCGCACAAUUUGAAUUUCCCUUCAAUUUCCCAUUCGGCUGGGUGGGACGGCGCCGAAUGGUUUACCCUCACCGCCGUGUGACGCCUGCGAAGACGCCGGUCCUGAGGACCAGAGAGGAGCCCGCCUACAUUUUGUCUACGUCCUCAGUGGAGCAGGCGAGAGAGACCAUAUCCCACUAAACGUGUAGAGAGAGACCCAGGGGCCCGAGGACCGUCCCCUGGAUGACCAUGGAGACGGAGAGACCCAGGGGCCCGAGGACGUCCCCUGGAUGAACGUAUAGAGAGAGACCCAGGGGCUCGAGGACGUCCCCUGGAUGAAUGUAUAGAGAGAGACCCAGGGGCCCGAGGACGUCCCCUGGAUGAACGUAUAGAGAGAGACCCAGGGGCUCGAGGACGUCCCCUGGAUGAAUGUAUAGAGAGAGACCCAGGGGCCCGAGGACGUCCCCUGGAUGAACGUAUAGAGAGAGACCCAGGGGCUCGAGGACGUCCCCUGGAUGAAUGUAUAGAGAGAGACCCAGGGGCCCGAGGACGUCCCCUGGAUGAACGUAUAGAGAGAGACCCAGGGGCUCGAGGACGUCCCCUGGAUGAACGUAUAGAGAGAGACCCAGGGGCCCGAGGACGUCCCCUGGAUGAACGUAUAGAGAGAGACCCAGGGGCUCGAGGACGUCCCCUGGAUGACCAUGGAGACGGAGAGACCCAGGGGCCCGAGGACGUCCCCUGGAUGACCUUGGAGACAGAGUUACCCAGGGGCCCGAGGACGUCCCCUAGAUGAACGCAUAGAGAGAGUCCCAGGGGCCAGAGGACGGUCCCUGGAUGAAAAUAUAGACAGAGACAAAGGGGCCCGAGGACGUUCCCUGGAUGAACGUAUAGAGAGAGACCCAGGGGCUUGAGGACGUCACCUAGAUUAACGUAUAGAGGGAGACCCAGGGGCCCGAGGAUGUCCCCUGGAUGAACGGGGAGAAGGGAAGACCCAGGGGCACAUGGAACAUCCCCUGGAUGAAUGUGGAGACGGAGAGACCCAGGGGCCCGAGGACGUCCCCUGGAUGAACGGGGAGACCCUUGGACGAACUUGUACAGGGAACCCCGGGGAGCCCGAGUGGCAUCCACUUGAUGAACGUCCACCUAUUGCCACGCCCUCAUUCCCCUCUACAGCCCCCUCUACAGCCUCCCUCUAAGGAUCACGCCCUCAGCCCCCUCUAGGUGUCACGCCCUCAGACCCCUCUACAGCCCCCCUCUAGGGGGCACACCCUCAGCCCCCUCUAAAGAGAGAGACCCAGGGGCCCGAGAACAUUCCCUGGAUGAACGUGGAGACGGAGACCAAGGGGCCCGAGGACGUCCCCUGGAUGAAUGUCGAGACGGAUAGACCCAGGGCCCCUAGGGCCAUCCCUUGGAUGAACUUGUAGAGAGAACCCCGGGGAGCCCGAGUGGCAUCCACUGGACGGACGUCCACCUUUUGCCACGCCCUCAUUCCCCUCUCCAGCCCCCUCUAGGGGCCCCCAGCCCGUCUAGGGACCAUGCCCUCAGCCCCCUCUACAGCUGUCUAUAAGGGCUACAGCCCCCUCUAUGGGCCCUGCGGCCCCACUCUACUGCCCCCUCUAGGGGCCACGCCUUGAGCCCCCCUCUACAGCCCCCUCUAUGGGACCUCAG